rnacentral:misc_RNA from 1 species
CUCCCAGCUGAGCUACGGCCCCUAAAUCAGGAUAAAGCGUUUAAAACGAUCAAAAGAGGGAUUACAAAAUCUAUAUAACUCAAAGCGAUAUGAUUGAACCGAUAGUUUCAUAUAGGCAUUGACGUCUAUGAGCAUUUGGAAUUUAUAUCAACCAAAUGGACGCUGUAAAAAUCACUUUGCAAGGAAUUUUGACUCCUUAGUAUUUAGCAUUUGAACUGUUUUUUUGCCAUUAAUUUGCUUUAACUUUGGAUUACUCACACAAAAGCAAUAAGCCUGCCAAUUUUGAUAAGCUUUUUAGAAGCAAUCUUUUUAGAAGUACUUAUUUUUUAAAAGCACUUAUGAAAGUAAUGGAUAAACUGGUGGGCCUGGGAGGACUUGAACCUCCGACCUCACGCUUAUCAAGCGCGCGCUCUAACCAACUGAGCUACAAGCCCUCCGGGAUAAACCGGAAAACCUUCCCCGGCAUCCUCUUAUAAAACGCUUAAAUUUUAUCAAGGAAAGCGUUUUUCAAAGCCCACGGUGGACUUGUUUUGUCUAGAUCGCC